rnacentral:rRNA from 1 species
GCAAAUAGAUCUCUUCGGAGUGACGUUUGUGGAACGAGCGGCGGACGGGUGAGUAACACGUGGGCAACCUACCUGUAAGACUGGGAUAACUCCGGGAAACCGGGGCUAAUACCGGAUAAUACUUUGCUUCGCAUGAAGGAAAGUUGAAAGAUGGCUUCUUGCUAUCACUUACAGAUGGGCCCGCGGCGCAUUAGCUAGUUGGUGAGGUAAGAGCUCACCAAGGCAACGAUGCGUAGCCGACCUGAGAGGGUGAUCGGCCACACUGGGACUGAGACACGGCCCAGACUCCUACGGGAGGCAGCAGUAGGGAAUCUUCCGCAAUGGACGAAAGUCUGACGGAGCAACGCCGCGUGAACGAAGAAGGUUUUCGGAUCGUAAAGUUCUGUUGUUAGGGAAGAACAAGUACCGUUCAAACAGGGCGGUACCUUGACGGUACCUAUCGAGGAAGCCCCGGCUAACUACGUGCCAGCAGCCGCGGUAAUACGUAGGGGGCAAGCGUUGUCCGGAAUUAUUGGGCGUAAAGCGCGCGUAGGCGGUUUCUUAAGUCUGAUGUGAAAUCUUGCGGCUCAACCGCAAGCGGUCAUUGGAAACUGGGGAACUUGAGUACAGAAGAGGAGAGC